rnacentral:rRNA from 1 species
GCCCUUCCUACGGGAGGCAGCAGGGGGGAAUAUUCCGCAAUGGACGAAAGUCUGACGGAGCAACGCCGCGUGAGUGAUGAAGGUUUUCGGACUGUAAAACUCUGUUGUUUAGGACGAAAGUGCCUGUUGCAAAUAGUUGCAGGUAUUGACGGUACUGAACGAGGAAGCCACGGCUAACUGCGUGCCAGCAGCCGCGGUAAUACGUAGGUGGCGAGCGUUGUCCGGAAUUAUUGGGCGUAAAGAGCAUGUAGGUGGAUACUUAAGUCUGUUGUGAUAAUGCGGGGCUCAACCCCGUAUUGCGAUGGAAACUGGGUGUCUUGAGUGCAGGAGAGGAAAGGGGAAUUCCCAGUGUAGCGGUGAAAUGCGUAGAUAUUGGGAGGAACACCAGUGGCGAAGGCGCCUUUCUGGACUGUGUCUGACACUGAGAUGCGAAAGCUAGGGGAGCGAACGGGAUUAGAUACCCCGGUAGUCCUAGCCGUAAACGAUGGGUACUAGGUGUAGGGGGUAUCGACCCCCCCUGUGCCGGAGUUAACGCAAUAAGUACCCCGCCUGGGGAGUACGGCCGCAAGGUUGAAACUCAAAGGAAUUGACGGAAGGGC